ACCUGAGAGAGCUGACCUGAGCUACAAUCACCCAGGAGACUCAGGAGUGAAGCUGCUCUCUGCUAGACUGGAGGAUCCACACUGCAGACUGGAGAAACUCAAUGUGGAACAUGGUGGAGAGAACAGAAUGAAACCUGGACUUAGAAAAUAUGUCUGUGAUCUCACACUGGACCUAAACACAGUAGACAGAAAACUCUCUCUGUCUGAGGAGAACAGAAAGGUGACAUGUAGGAGAGAGGAGCAGCCGUAUCCUGAUCACCCAGAGAGAUUUGAGGGCUGUGGACAGGUGCUGUGUAGAGAGGGUCUGACUGGGCGCUGUUACUGGGAGGUAGAGUGGAGUGGGAGAGGGGCUGAUAUAGGAGUGACAUAUAAAGGAAUCAGCAGGAGAGGAAGGGUGAUGACUGUUGGCUUGGAUACAAUGACAAAUCCUGGAGUCUGAACUGCUCUGACUACAGUUAUAUUGCCUGUCACAAUAAUAAUCCCACUACCAUAGACGUCCGCUCCUCCAGCUCCCACAGAGUAGGGUGUAUCUGGACUGGCCAGCCGGCACUCUGUCCUUCUAUAGAGCCUCCUCUGACACACUGACCCACCUGAUCACAUUCACCUCCACAUUCACUGAGCCCCUCUAUCCAGGGUUUAGGGUUUGGAAAUGCUCCUCCUCUGAAAUAAUAACCUGACACACAAACUGGACACACACACACACACACACACACACACACACACACACACACACACACACACACACACACACACACACACACACACACACACACACACACACACACACACACACUGGAUUCACACACACACACACUGGAUUCACACACACACACACUGGACUCACACACACAGACAAGACACACACACACUGGACACACACACUGGACACACAAACAUGCACACACACACACACACUGGACAAACACACACAUACACUGGACAAACACACACACACACUGGACAAACACACACACACACACUGGACAAACAAAACACACACACUGGACUCACACACACACUGGACUCACACACACACACACACCGGACUCACACACACACACUGGACUCAUACACACACUGGAAUCACACACACACACACACUGGACUCACACACACACAGACUGGACUCACACACACAGACAAGACACACACAGACUGGACACAAACACACACACACUGGAAUCACACACACACACACACUGGACUCACACACACACACACACACUGGACUCACACACACUCAUUGGACUCACACACACAGACAAGACACACACACAUUGGACAAACACACACACAAACACACACACACACUGGACUCACACACACUGGACAAACACACACACACGUACACACUGGACAAACACAAACACACACACACUGCACAAACACACACACACUGGACA